rnacentral:tRNA from 1 species
UAAAAAGUGUCCAGGGGCGGGAAUCGAACCCACACCCUUCUGCUUACCGGGCAGGUGCCUUGUCCACUCGCCACUUUUU